UACGUAGGGGGCAAGCGUUUGGUCCGGAUUUAUUGGGCGUAAAGAGCGUGUAGGCGGCCUUACAGGUCAGCUGUGAAAACUCGAGGCUCAACCUCGAGACGUCGGUUGAAACCGUAUGGCUAGAGUCCGGAAGAGGAGAGUGGAAUUCCCGGUGUAGCGGUGAAAUGCGCAGAUAUCGGGAAGAACACCCGUGGCGAAGGCGGCUCUCUGGGACGGUACUGACGCUGAGACGCGAAAAGCGUGGGGAGCGAACAGG
rnacentral:rRNA from 1 species